GAGUCAGAUACCUCUGCCUUGCUGCUGGCCCCUGAACUAGGGACUGAGCUGUACCAACCCCUCACUCUGGAGGAAUAUGCUGAGGAGCUGCUUAAAUUGCUGGUGGCAGAGUACUCCAAAGGCCUGCGAGCGAUGAAGCCCUACAAACAGUUACCUAGCUCAGUGUAAUAUUGCAUGGACAUGCAGGACAACCUAAAGGGAAUGAAAAGACCAUUAUUAUCCAGCUUGCCACCAGAUGCUGCCCCUCAACCUCUGACACCAUCCAUGGCAUCUGCAGGGCCAGAACUUCAAGGACAGGGCCUUUAUCAACAGCUAAGUGGCUGGCUAACCUGAGGGAGAAGAAACUGAGAACUCAGGAUGAGAUUUCAGAGACCUCAUUGCAAAGUCUCACAGAAAAAUAAAACUGAGAGCUGGAAGUUGUUUGCGGUCUGAGAGGGAAAAAGACAGGCAGCUAUCCAGAGCAUCAAAGUGGGCAGAGACAGCACCGCAGAGAAAGACAGGGACAUGCAGAGGCAUCUCCUGGAGAAACUACAGAAGCAGAAUGCUCUGCUGGAGUGUAUGCCACUAGCAGUCCCACAGACAAUCCAGUGCCCUCAACCAGGACCCAUCCAUGUUCUGCAGCCCCUGAAAUGAUGAUAUAGGGUACUGCGAACACCAGCAUAUAUUCCCUGCUGUACCCUCACAGCCAUGCUCUCAGAUGCCAUUUCCUGCCUCAGCUCAUCCAGGAUCCCAGCUUUUUCCACCCAUCAAAUGCCCCUGACAACAUUGAGCCCCAAGACUCAGGGCCAGAAGGCAAAAGAACAAGAGCAAGGUGUACACUCACCAGUGAACUGGAGCCAUCUCCCCAAAAUUGUUAUAUACUGCUCUCCACUUGCACCGUUUCAUUUUAAAGCUGUUUCAUUGUUUUAUUAUAAAUUAGAAAUACUGUACAUUCAUGAAGAAACUGCAAUGCAUGAUACAUAAAAAACCCUAAUUUUUGCAUAAGUCAUGGGUUUUUAAAAGAGUAGAAAAGCAGAGACACAAAAUGAGUGUCGUGCCAUGCCAUGUCUAGUGCCCAUAAUUGAAACUGCAAUGCUCACAAUCCAUAAGCAGUUGGGGUCUGUUCCUUGCAAUUCUUCACUGAUUCUCUGAGCUACUUCUGGCCUUUGUCUACUUGCAGGCAUCUAUUGUGGAGCUGCACUCUUCAGUCCUCACCCUCCCUGGAAUUUUGUCUUCCCAAGAAGCUUUUCCCAGAUGCCUGGCAGCUGCCUGAAACCCCUUCAUCUUUGCUAUCCUCUCCCUUCAGUGCCAGUCCUAGGGUCUGAACUCCUAGCUACAGCUCAGUUCUCCCUAGUGGCCCUACAGUCCACCCAGUCUGGUUUUCAAUCCUUAAUUAGCUGUUUCCCCUUCAGGUACCAUAGACUCACUGUUAACCCUUUAUUUGCCAGUGCAGGGCAUAAC